GUCUCUCAACAGGGCUUCGCAGCGCCGCCGCUCUGUCCCCGGCGGAUCCGCAUCCCCGGCGCUCCUCGGCGCCCUCCUCGCCCAGCCGCCGUUCCGUCACGGCCGCCGCCCGCGCCGUCCUCACCGCGCCGCCGCUCCGUCCCGGUGGAUCCGCGCAGGUCCGGCCGCCAUCCUCGCCGCACCGCCGCUCCGUCCCGGCGGAUCCGCGCUGGUCCAGCCGCCGAUCCGCAUCCCGGUCGCCGUCCGCAGCUGGGCCUCUGCAUCCCCAGCAACGUUGUCAUCCAACGCCCAGUUGUGAUGUUGCUGUCAUCCUCUUCAUCCCCUACGGGCUACGGCGUCCGCGUCGACACCCAAUGCUGACAUCCACCACUGCACCUGCAAUUGUACGAAACGGAACGGCUCCACCUCCACCCCUGAGGGAUGUGCUAAUCUAAUUAAAUGGCCAUCACUGAUGCAUUCACUCGUGCCUAAUGGCCAUCACAUCCAUUUCGAAUUUUAUCGCUUACCCCUUAUCAAACUAGAGUAGUGUACAUGUGCUAUUUUUUGGGCUUAAUGUAUUUAUCUAUAAUCUACAUUCAUUCUCCUAAUCUAUUUACCUGGAGAGUUAACAUCUAGACUUCCGAUUCUUUUGAAUGAAUGGUUGUCUAUUUGUGCCAUGUUUCCAUUAUUCGUGCUCAUAACUGGUAUUUAGUACAAAUCUUAGCUUCAUAUGACUUGUGUGUGGCAUUUGCAGCUCAUGGGAUGGUUUGACAAGGCACAUCACAAGCAAAUAUUGGAGGAGUUACUACUGUAGUCAUUCCCUGGUUCUUUUGGACAAAUUUUUCAUGUCUUGACUUCAACACUUUCACCUGAGCAUGCCAGCAUCAGUCUGGAUGGAUCCAAUUUAGACAAAUUAAUUUAACUGUGCACUCUCAUGGUUAUUUGCAGCUCCCCUGAGUAAUUCCCUUCUUCAUUUGUCGAUUAAUUUGCAGGAUGGGAAGGUGUCGCAGCUGGAGCACGACUUCAUCAGAAGCAGAGUGAGGUAAUUGGAAGAAUCGAUUUGUUUCUCGAUGGAAUGUUAGGAUGAGAUUAUUUUUUAUCUUUUAUGUAAGAUAUUUUUGAACUAUUCUGUUAUGUGAUACAAUUGUAGUAAACAAGCUGUGCAGCUAUGAGCCUAUGAUUUUUUUGUUGAUGUACCUUAAUUUGAUAGGAAAUGCAUGAGUUGUGAUCUGUGUUUGUAUGAUUGUUGGUUCGCUUUUGAUAUUAAGAUGGUGAUAUGUGUGGUCGAACAGAUUAAUCAUUACCGAAUCAAUGAUCUUUAUUAGUUCAUGAAAUUAGUUGCUCUUGACGAUAGAGGCUUGGGUGCACAGAAUUUGUGGGAUAAAUUUGUCUUUUUGCACCUGGAUAUACAAUUUUCGUUGAUUGAUUUAUAUACAGUUUUCGUUGAUUGAUCUAUAGUUUUGAAUGCAGAAACGUGGACUAUGCCAUAUGAUGGAAACUCCAUUAUAUCUUUGUGCUCAUUGCAGAUAUGUUAUGCUGCUCUGGUUUUCCAAAAUAGAUGGAUCUACAACACCACAUUGCUGUAUUUUUGAAUCUUGUGCUAUAUCAGACUCAUUGUAUUGGGUUCUCUGUGUCUCAUUCUCAUCUAAAGCAUGGGAGAAGUGGACAAACCUAGAAGUUAGCCUGAUUUCAGGUUUCGCACAUGUCUAACUAUUAACUCACUGAAUUUCUCAUGUGUUGAUUUUUUUUUUGGGCAUUAGAAUUCUCUGCAUGAAGUUGGAUCGGAUAAUGUGAAUAAAAGAUGCUUGAUAUAUACAUGCUUCUAGAAUCCAGUACCUUCUACAAUAUAAAGAGAUGAUAUUUGUUGCAAGUUUCUGAAGAAAAGCGCUGUAAGUUUCCGAGCAAAAGAAGCUAAGAUGUAUGGUUGAAAUAUACAUAACACCACAUCAGUCUGAAGUUAAAUUGGCAUGAUCAGUAGCUAGGGGCGAGAUCGCAAUUUCAUUAAAAAUAUUAUUUGAUUGUAUAUGUAAGAACACCAAAAAAUGUGAAUGCCAAUUCUUUUCUAGACAAAUAAAACUCUAGGUGCUGGUGUGAGAACUAAACUAAGUAUAAAAUUUAUUUGCAGUCAUCCAAGUGUUGAUAUCUGUCAGGCUAUUGCACUUGUUCAUGGAUAAAUUUUACUAAAGGUUUAUAUAAUAAUCCCAUGAUGAACCUUAUCCUAACCUGUGAUUUUAUACUACUCUCAUCCUAACCUGUGAUUUUAUACUACUCUCAUCCUAACCUGUGAUUUUAUACUACUCUCAUCCUAACCUGUUGCCUUCAUUGGCUGGUUGGAUGGAUGACCAGUGGGUGGUAUGAUGGAGGUCAGGGGCGUUCACUUUCCAUGGUGCACGUGCACCAUGGUUAUUUUUUAACGUAGCUUCGCCCGUGAUGGAGGUGGUGCUCCUGCAGACGUCGACAGCGGGAAGUCGCCAACCAAAAAUAUUGCCACUAGCCUCUAGGGGCAUGCCAGCGUAGAGCUGUGUCUGGUUACUUGGUGGUGGCAGGCUAACACUUGGAUAAGAGGAAGACGAUGAAGUUGCAGUUGCACCGCUGGUUACUUGGAUCUUUGGAUCUCACGUGGGAAAAAAAUCUGUUAAGUAUCCACAUUGUGUGUAGAUGUUCUUUUUUUUUUGACAAUGACCUUUACUUCUGUUUUAGUAAUAACUACAUGUUACAAAAAUUUAUUGGAUAAAUGAAAACAAAUAUUGAAGACGAUGAA